rnacentral:rRNA from 1 species
UACGUAGGGUGCGAGCGUUAAUCGGAAUUACUGGGCGUAAAGCGUGCGCAGGCGGUUUUGUAAGCCAGAUGUGAAAGCCCCGGGCUUAACCUGGGAACUGCAUUUGUGACUGCACGGCUAGAGUGUGUCAGAGGGGGGUAGAAUUCCACGUGUAGCAGUGAAAUGCGUAGAUAUGUGGAGGAAUACCGAUGGCGAAGGCAGCCCCCUGGGAUAACACUGACGCUCAUGCACGAAAGCGUGGGGAGCAAACAGG